GACGAACGCUGGCGGCGUGCUUAACACAUGCAAGUCGAGCGGAAAGGCCCUGCUUUUGUGGGGUGCUCGAGUGGCGAACGGGUGAGUAACACGUGAGUAACCUGCCCUUGACUUUGGGAUAACUUCAGGAAACUGGGGCUAAUACCGGAUAGGAGCUCCUGCUGCAUGGUGGGGGUUGGAAAGUUUCGGCGGUUGGGGAUGGACUCGCGGCGUAUCAGCUUGUUGGUGGGGUAGUGGCUUACCAAGGCUUUGACGGGUAGCCGGCCUGAGAGGGUGACAGGCCACAUUGGGACUGAGAUACGGCCCAGACUUCUACGGGAGGCAGCAGUGGGGAAUAUUGCACAAUGGGCGGAAGCCUGAUGCAGCAACGCCGCGUGCGGGAUGACGGCCUUCGGGUUGUAAACCGCUUUCGCCUGUGACGAAGCGUGAGUGACGGUAAUGGGUAAAGAAGCACCGGCUAACUACGUG
rnacentral:rRNA from 1 species